GUCCUGAGUCUGUGGACUCAGUGUUUUUCUGUUUGUAUUAAGUUUUCCUUGAUUUCAUGAUGUGUUUUGAUUUCUGUUGUUAGUAUCCCUAGUUCCUUGGCAUUUCUUGUGUUCUAGUUCUUAGGUUGUGGUUCUGUUACUUCUGUUCAGUUUCCUGUUUUACUUUGAAAGUCUGUGUACUAUGUCAGUGUGUUGAGUUUUGUCUCCCCUUGUCUUGUGAUGUCUGAUGAGUCCCAGCUGUGCUCUCCUCCUGUUUCACAUUCCCUAAUUACCUCAGUAUGUAUUUAAGCCCUGUGUUUUUCCCUGCCUGUUGUUGCGUCCUCCACAUUGGUUGUGUGUGUGUUCAUUGUCGUCUACCGUCAGCAUCUCCGGUCUAGUUAAGUUUAAGUUGUUGUUUAUGUAACGCCAAGCGUGAUUCUCCAGCAAAUAAAGCUGCCAUUUAAGUUCAUGCUUUGUCUCCGAGUCCUGCACGUCGGUCCAGCCACUGACAGCCACACAACUCACCGUGACAGGAGGUAUUUGGAAUAUAUGGGAGAGGCUUUGCUCCAUUUGCAUGACUGAGGGCACGCACAAAGACAAGACUGGUACACAUCAACUCGUCAAAGCUAAGAGCUAAACAUCACAGCUGGACAGGACGUCACUCUGACAUGUCGAGCUCCAAAUAGCAACAUACCGAUCACAGUUGUAGAGUGGAGCAGAGCUGACCUGAAGCAAGAAUAUGUCCUUAUGUACCGGGACGGUCACUUAUAUGCAGAUGGUCAGCAUCCAUCUUUUAAGAACCGGGUGGAUCUGCAGGACAGACAGAUGAAGGAUGGAGACGUGUCUUUGAUUCUGAAAGGUGUGAUGAUUGCUGAUAGUGGAACAUAUGAGUGUCGUGUCAUCCAGAGAAAAACAAACCGCAGGAAGAGAACUCAUCUGAAGACUCCCCCCAUCAGCAUCAUCAACCUGAGUGUUGUUGAUCCUCCAGGUCAGACAGGAGGAGACACAGAGGAUAGAGGGAAGGAGUCAGGAAUCAGUAGAGGACGUUCUGCACUGGUAGCUGUUCUCUCAGUCUUUGGUGUGAUUUGUGUUGUUGUGGCUGCUUUUGUGAUCUUUUGAAAACUGAAAAAGUCAAAUUCAUGCUUGUCCUAAGCAAAAGACAGUCUGAAAAAAAGUUUGUUGCAACGCUAUUUUUUUUUUUUUUUUUUUUUAGUUUUGUUUUUCUUUUAAUUUUUUUUGGUGCAUUAGUGGGGAGGAAGAUUCGAAAUUUUGAAGCAGAUGCACAAAUCUCAGUUCAAAAAAUAUUUCAGUAGCAGUAGGGUUGUGACCAAAAUCUCAUAUCCUGAUAAUGAUAUAUAUCACAAAAUAGUGCAGAUUCUUCGUUUUCAGCUGGGCUUCGUGUACCUGGAGUCGAGUGUUUUGACCGAUGCAAGACAGAUACAUUUUUAGACACAAGUUUUAACAGCCGCCAUUUUCUUUGUAUUUAUUACAUGGCGUGCUGCUGGGAAAAGCCUGUUCUAAUGUUUGAGUCUAAGGUUUAUUUUAAGCACCUGAUGGUUCUUUUUUGCUUCUCAUCAGUAAAUAGGGGUGGGUUUUGAUUAUCGAUUAAAAUUGAUUCUAGCUUGGACAACGUGAUAUCGAUUCAUUAAAAUCCUGAAUCAAUUUUUAAAUAUAAAUUUAUUUUCCCCGAAAUGCCAGAAUCUCAAAGCUCACAAAAUUUCAACAACCACCAAACAGCUAAAACAGUAAA